UUACCAUAAACUUAAUUCUCUUAUUUUUCUCUUCUCUCCUCACGAUCUCUCUCUCUUCUUCUCAUUUCUUUAUUUCUCCUCCCCCAUUUCUUCCUCAUUUCUUAUUUUCUUUCUCACGAUCUCUCCUCAGAUUUCUUCCGGCGAUGCUACCUCCGCCGCUGCCUCCGACGACGAUGACGACGAACUAGUUUUUCUUCUUAUUCUUCCUUUCUUUCUUCUUUUUCUUCUUCUUCUUUCUUUCUUCUUAUUCUUCUUCUUCUUCUUCUUCUUCUUCUUCUUCUUCUUCUUAUUCGGUCUUUCUUAUUCUUCUUUUUCUUUCUUCAAAUCUAGUUUUAUUCUUUUUCUUCUUUUUCACAUCUGAUUUUGAACUUCAUAUUUGAUUUUUCUGGGUUUUUUUUUUCUAAAUAUGUUUAAGUAACCAGGUACUUGACUUCAUAUUUGAUUUUUCUGGGUUUUUUUUUUCUAAAUCUGUUUAAGUAACCAGGUACUUGACUUCAUAUUUGACUUGAUUUAAGAAAUGUACUUAAGAAAAGUUGACUGCUAUUAUUUAGUGUAGACUAGGGUAGUAUAAGAAGCUAGGUAGUUGAAUAUUUUAGGGUACUUUUAACAUAUGAAGGCUCAGGUUAGCUGAUUAGUUUUUUUGGUUGAAAAGGGCAAAAGUUGUCAAAAGGUUCUUCCCUGUGAUGUUUAGAUCAAUUGGAUAUAGGUUUAGCAGCCAAACGUUCAUCAAAUAAGGUUCUAACAUAAAUAUUUAUGUGUUUAUUAAUUAUUUAAAGAAAUAGAACUAGAACGUUUGCUUAAAAAAUGUAUCGAUAGGUUUACAAAAUUUAUUCAGAAUACAAGUACAAGAAAUAAAAAAACAAGCAAACAAAACUUUUGUUUUUUCUGGGUUUUUUUUUCCAAAUCUGUUUAAGUAACCAGGUACCAUGACGCCUGAUUCAUUUUAUUCAUAUCAGAUUUUUUUUAGACCUAGGUGUAACCAGUUACAAUAGCGAUUAAUUUAGAUUCUUUUGUUUAGAUUUGAUUUUGUUUUCACACCAGACUAAGCAACCAGGUACCAUAGCAAUUGGUUAUUUUUUUUAGAUUUGAUUUUUUUUUCAAACCUCGCUGUAACCAGUUACGAUUAUCAAUUUAGAUUUUUUAGUAAUGUGGCAGUAACCGGUUACUACUAUCAAUUUUAACUGUCAUGGCAAGUACUCGAGUGAAUUGUAACUGGUUACUGACAGAUUUGGAAGAAAAAAAAAACAGACCAGAAUACAUCUAGUAAAGAAGAAGAAGAAGAAGAAGAAGAAGAAGAAGAAGGUAACCGGUUACCCCUAUUAAAAUAACUGAUUGAUAACUAGUUACUGAGCCAAACCUAGAAAAAAAAACCAUUACCCAAAGACUAAAGAGUAGUCCAAAAAGUGACACGCUAUAAAAGCCACAACCUACCUCUACUCCAUCAUCCCUCCCUUUCUACCAAUUCAUUGAUCAAUUUCAAUAUCGAAACUAAAAGAAAAGAGCACAAAAAUGUUGGCUAUAUUUCACAAUGCUUUCGCUCACCCACCCGAGGAGCUUAACAGCCCAGCAUCUUACAAGGCUGGUUCGAAGCCAAAACUCCCAGAAGAAACUCUUCAGGAUUUUCUCUCUCACCACCCUCAAAACACCUUCUCCAUGACCUUUGGUCAUGCUGCUGUUCUUGCUUAUGUCUGACCAGACAGACCUUUCUCCGUAAACCAGAGGUUGUUCUGUGGUUUUGAGGAUAUUUACUGCCUCUUCUUG